rnacentral:rRNA from 1 species
GACGAACGCUGGCGGCGUGCUUAACACAUGCAAGUCGAACGGAAAGGCCCUGCUUUUGUGGGGUGCUCGAGUGGCGAACGGGUGAGUAACACGUGAGUAACCUGCCCUUGACUUUGGGAUAACUUCAGGUAACUGGGGCUAAUACCGGAUAGGAGCUCCUGCUGCAUGGUGGGGGUUGGAAAGUUUCGGCGGUUGGGGAUGGACUCGCGGCUUAUCAGCUUGUUGGUGGGGUAGUGGCUUACCAAGGCUUUGACGGGUAGCCGGCCUGAGAGGGUGACCGGCGACAUUGGGACUGAGAUACGGCCCAGACUCCUACGGGAGGCAGCAGUGGGGAAUAUUGCACAAUGGGCGGAAGCCUGAUGCAGCAACGCCGCGUGCGGGAUGACGGCCUUCGGGUUGUAAACCGCUUUCGCCUGUGACGAAGCGGGAGUGACGGUAAUGGGUAAAGAAGCACCGGCUAACUACGUG